UACGAAGGGUGCUAGCGUUGUUCGGAAUUACUGGGCGUAAAGGGCGCGUAGGCGGCCAUAUAAGUCAGAUGUGAAAGCCCUGGGCUUAACCUAGGAACUGCAUUUGAUACUGUAAGGCUAGAGUAUAAGAGGGGAAGAUGGAAUUGCUUGUGUAGAGGUGAAAUUCGUAGAUAUAAGCAGGAACACCGGUGGCGAAGGCGAUCUUCUGGAUUAAUACUGACGCUAAGGCGCGAAAGCGUGGGGAGCAAACAGG
rnacentral:rRNA from 1 species